rnacentral:misc_RNA from 1 species
CUCUUCUUUAAGCAAUGUCAAACCAGGAAAUUAAUUGGAAAAAAAAAUUUGUGUACACAAUUAUACAAUUGAACGCCUGAGCAAAACUGCAAGUCUACAACCUUGUCGAAUUUUCUUAUUUAUCUUAGAUUGGUCUCCACACGGUAUCAAUAAAUUAGUUACACUAUAUGCAAUUGAAUGGACCUGAUCCAAACAAGACAAAAACAUUGGAUUUCUGUUGAUCCCUCUUGGUAUCACAUUAAUCUAUAAUAAUCAGAACAUCCAUCUUGGAGAAGAGUGAACUGCACUUUGGUUUGGUUUGGUAGGCUGCUCCAAGUUGUUUCUCUUCUUCAUUAUUGAAGACACAGUUGGACUGAAGUAGUCAUUACUCCUUUGAGAUGUUGCGCCUUGUGAAUGCAUCUUCUUCCCAUGGAUAGAGCUUCUCUGCUGUUCUAGCAUUGACCUAGGGGCCACUGGGUUCCUAUGGGAAGCAUUCUUCCAUCUAUUGUGACUCGCACAACUUUGGCUCCUUCCCACGUGCUGAAAUCUUCCCUCUAUAGGACUCGGAUAGUUUCGGCUCUCAGCAGUUUCGGCAGAGUACAUGGUCUCUUCCUCGCUGCCAUAUCCAUUAUGCAUUCCUGAAACCACCACCGGUGAGGAACUAGACUGGACCUCACUUUGGGCUCCAUUUACAGAACCAGUAGAUGCAAUCUCAGCAUCUGCUUCAGGACUUUCAAUUCCUCCAUCCGUGAUUUGAUCUCCACCUGAUGGGCUCUGCACAGGAAGUUCCUUAACACAAUUCUCAUCAGAGUUAGGGCGCAGUUGAUUGCAUGGUGGUGGUUGAAAGGCAGCUUUGGUGAUCCUUGGGGGGAAAUUUAUAUCCAAAAGCUGAACUUGGGCACUUUCCGUUUUCCUAAUGGGAGCUGCAGUCAGCUUUCGUGACUCAUAAAUUUCUGGAGUCGAGAUUCCCUGUUCGUGGACUGCAUGAGGUUCAGUGGUUUGCGUUCCUUCUUUUGCAAUGUUUGCCACACCUGAACAACCUGGUCCAUGUUGGUCGCCAGGUUUGGAGAUUGUAUUUGAUGACGAAGGGGUUCCGUCAUUAUCCACAUCAGUUGACUUGAAAACCUGUCGGAGUGUGAAGGAAGCACAAGAAUGCUCACUCUUCUGGCCUGUGGACAUCAAUCUAAUGAUUGGUAAUUUGGGUUUGGUAAGUUCAUCAAGGUUGCCUUCCCAAUGCUGGUUUAACCAAUCACAGAUGAUGGGAACAGGAAUACCAAAUUGCAUAGGAGAAUCCUUCUUCAAGGAUGUUGAGGAUGAGGAUGAAUUUGAAGAAGAUUUGGUAUUUGGAGAUGUGGCUAAUUUCAUAGGAUCACAGAUCAUGAAAGCAAGAUUUCCUUGUACAUCAAAUCCAGCAGACCCAGGGCUCCAUGUUAUUCCAUCGGUUGACAGUUUUAUGAGAUUGUCAGUGGCAAUUACCACCUUUCCCUCACCAACUGUCAGUUCUUCCUUCUCCGUGUAGCCCAAAAAGUAAACAACACUGCCGAGAUCCAGAUUUGGUUUUGAACAUGUCUUCAAGUAGUGAUGUUGUCCUUGGGCAUUGGGGUCUCCAUCCAUGUCAUCUAAACCCACUAUUGUAAGGUCCAAAACAGAACUGGUGAUGAAAAACCUGAAAUUAAAUAGUAGACAUGAGAAAAUUCAUUGAAGAAUGCCUAGAACCAUGAGGCUAUUUGGAAUAAAGUCACCACCUCUUUCCUUUCAAGUACAAUGUCACUCUACAGGCAUAGUGGCAGCAUUAGUUACAAUAAGAAGUAUAAAAUAACAUAAUUCUGUAAAGCAAGGCAAGAUGUGAAUCACCCAAAAUAAAACUUCAACGCAUGCCAUUAAGCAUUUGAUACAGCCAUGAGAGAAAGCUAUUGCUGAGCUACUUUCACCCCAUAUUCAAAUCUGGCAACUGAGAGCAUUUCUUAUGUAGGACCCUACAUGUGGUCCAGCUUUACAUCAAUUGAUAGACUGAGACAUUAUGAAGCUUCUUUGGUUUUCCAGGCAAAUUUGCAAUCAAGGGUAGAAUGCAAUUUCCUAUGAAACAGGGACAACCUUAAGACAUGCUAAGAGUCUUGCUUUUAGUUUAUUCAAGUCCAAGUUUAGCCUAUUAGUUCUCAUCAUGAAUUUUAUUAUUUAGGAGUACUAACUCUAUAGAGUGAGUUGCCAACUCUCAAUGAAUAUCUGUCUAAUCCAAGUAUUUUGGUAGACUUCUGUUAAAAAGAAUUACAAGUAUUUGGCUCUAGUUCUAAGGCACAUAGGUCUAGUGAAUGCAACAAAAUGAGAGUUGCUAUCACAAUAAGGCAUCCUAAAGAAAACAGAAACUAUUUCACAUCACCUCAGAUACGAUGCAAACACAUAGUAAAUGCAAAAAAAUGAAUACUAAAGGAUGUUCACUGUUCCUCAAUUAGCAGAACCAACUACUAUUUAUGCAAAUGUAACCUCUCAUACACAAGCAUAUAUUUGCAUCAGAUCCAGUGCUUACACAAUUAUGAAUAGUUUCCUUUCAGGGAGAUGAUACGACAACCCACCAACACAUUACUGCAACCUCAACUCACAAAAUCAUUUCCAUUAAUAUCACUUUCCCUCUCAAUCCGUCAAAUAAAUCCACAUCUCAAGUUUACUCAUCCGAACCUAACAAACCAUUGGCUCAGUUCAAAUGGACUUUUCCACUAUUUCAAAAUCAAUCUCUAUCAAGCACUUAACUUCCAUUAUUAAAGAUCCCACUUUUUCCCAUCAAACAAACACAUACCCAGGAGAUACAAUCAGAUAGAAAUGUCAACAUGAACAACAGCGAUGAUAAGGAGAAACACAAAAAAGAACCUGUGAGGGACGAGGCUAGCGGCAACGCCAUUUUGGAGCCGGAUCUCCGAACUCUCAGCAGCAGCAACGGAAGGAAUAUUAACAUGAGAAGUCAAGAGGAGAUUCCGGUGGAUCAGGAAUCCGGUGCCAGAUGUUCCGUUGCCGGAGCAGGAGAUUGUGGCCAUGGCUGGACCCUUACCAGAGAAAAUGUUGGCCUGCAUUCUCUCCGACUUGCCCACUCCUUUGCAAAAGCACCCCAUUCUCUUAAAAGCUCUAUUACUUGUUAUCCUUUAAGAAACAGCAAUAAUGGGUUGUGCUUGUUCUUGGUAAAGAAUCAGAACAUCGUAGCAGGGUUGGAUCUAAAGAGAGUGGCCCUUUGAGCCUUUAGUUAAAGAAAAUGGGAAAUAGGUAUUGAAUAAUAUCAGUGCAUUGUAGAAAAGAAAGUGAAAGAAAGGCAGUGGAGAGGAGUAAAGGGUAUGUGUCCUUUGAGCUGGAAUUUUCAGAAAAUAAAGCGCUUAUGCGCCUUUGCCUACGCUAGAACUACUGCGAGAAACACAGGAAGACGAGAGAGUUUUAGGAGAAGGGGAAACGCUGCGUUUUGCCCUUGGGAUAAGCUUAGGUGAACAGUGGUAUCAUGGAAUUUUGGUGAGACAGUAACAUUUGAAAUCGGUAGCCACGACUUUUUAAAUAAUGACAUUAUUA